UUUUUUUUUUUUUUUUCUUUUUGCUAUUUCUUGGGCCGCUCCCGCAGCAUAUGGAGGUUCCCAGGCUAGGGGUCCAGUCGGAGCUGUAGCCAACGGCCUACGCCAGAGCCACAGCGACACGGGAUCCGAGCCGCGUCUGCAACCUACACCACAGCUCUCGGCAACGCCGGAUAGUUAACCCACUGAGCAAGGCCAGGGAAUCAAACCCGCAACCUCAUGGUCCCUAGUCGGAUUUGUUAACCACUGCACCAUGAUGGGAACUCCUAUUUUUUCUAUUUUUAAUGCCUCAACCUAUAUAGUAAUUAUUUGAGAAUAUUUAUAUGGAUUUUUUUCUGAGAAAAUAUGCAAGUAAAAUGUAACUAAUUAUUUUUUAAGUAUCAGCUGAUACCACCAAGUACCUUGAUAUUUGUUCAUUGCAGAAGCUUGAGAUGCAUGGAAUUAGGUAUUUAGCCAACUUAAAAAACAAUUUAAAGACUUUUCUUAUACGGUUUUCAGCUAGGUUUUGCAUAAAACUAGUGUGAUUCUUUUCCUAAACAGUACCAAAUGAUGUAAGAAGUGUGAGGUUUAGAAUUAACGCAGUAUUUCCUGUACAUGGUCAGUGAUCCAGCAAGUGGAGAGUAGGGAGGGAAGGAGAGAGCCUAAUGAAAAGCAAAUGCUGCCAAUUUUUAUUUUGUGUGUGGAAACAUUUCUUUUCUGGACUGGUGCCAUGUCUUUUUUCCUCUUUUCUUUCUUCCCCUGGCAUGGCUUCCUUCAUCUGCAGCCAGCCCUGGUAAAGUCAUUAUGUUUGAUUGGAAUAAAGAGCCAUGGCAGGUGUUAACAUAUGAUAAAUGCCUCCAUAGCCUCCAGGAUUGAUGUAUCUAGAACCAGAAUUAUUUCCCAGAGUCCCUGAUGGCACCCACAUAUUCUUCCUUAGGACAUUCACUCAUUUCCUUAUGUCCCCAAGCUACAUGCUUUUCCUGACAGCAUGUGCGCGCGCACACACACACACACACACACACACACACACACAUACACAUCCCUCAAGCCUUCAAAUAUCAUUGUUCAGAAAUAUCAGUAGCAUGCUGCCAGAUUUUCCUCCACUUGCUUCCCUGGUACAAGGUCCCUUCCACAGGAAGAGCCACAGCCCUCUCCUCCAUUCAACACUGUUCUAAACAAAGUGGAUCCAGCAAAAAUGUUUUAAAGUCCUUGACAUUUGGAUUUCUCCUUUUUCAAAGUUUUUUUUUAAUUUCUAUUUUUUACAGUCCAUUGGUAUUUUUAUUUUGAAAUCUGGAGGUGAGCAAGUUAAAUGCCUGCUCCAUAGUUGUAUUAUUAACAGCAAGACAAUAUCAGGGGCAUAUAACCAUGUUGGUAAUGUAUAACUACUUAGUAUUCACUUGUGCUACAGGUAUGCGGGUCAGAAAACAAUAUAGAAUGUGUCCCAAGCACAAAUAUGUCACUAUGACUGCAGCUGAUCUUUCAAAAGCAUCCAAAGGGCCAGUACAUUUGAGUAGUAAGUAUUGCGUUUGCUGUCAGCAAUAGAUUCAGCCUAGGGAAGAACAGAGUCAUCUGUGGAAUGUCUUGCCUGCCAACAUGGAAGGCACAGACUUUCUCUGUCAGUGGCCAUGCGUUUUUCACAUCUUUGCCAUAAGAUGAUAUAAACCUUCAUUUUAAAAGCCAGUUGAUGGCGUAUUAUCUGAUUUUAUUGGGACUGUAAUGAUGAAAAAAAGCCAUUUCUUUUGGUGCCAUCCCUGGGGUUACGCCACAUACCUCCUCCAAUAUAAUCGCAUAUGGCAAUAACAAGCCAGGGGCUGUGUGGGAUAAUUGGCUCCUCCUCAAUGCAUUUAUGGGGAGUCAAUCUGAGAGUUACAGAGAUCGAACGAAAGCCACAGAGACUCUAAGACUGAAGCCCAUAUUGAUCUAGGAAGAACAGGAUGGAUCUGUCAGGUCCAGGCAGAAUACAUUGUGCUCCUGGCAAGAGAGUUCUUUCUACAGAAAAGGGAAAUAAUUAUCCCUUCCAAGGAAACGCUUGCGACAAAAGUACAUAUACUUACAGAGAAGUCUAAUAGAACCUUGAACAUGGAAAGAAAACUGCCUUUUCUUCUUUUUAUUAUUAUUAUUAUUAUUGGUAUUGGUAUUUUCUACUUGGGAAAACAUUACACUGAGGUUCUUUAUGUCUCUCUGAGUUUCCUUCAGUCUAUCUGGGCAUUUUUUACUUUUCCAUCACUGUAUUCACAUUUUAAACUCUGAUUUAAAAGCCUUUGGUUGAAACAGAAAGAGGCAGAUCCAUUUGGUAUAUAUGAAGUAAGGAGUAAUUGCAUUGGAAAACCCUGAAACACACAAACCAGAACCAGCUGUAACCAAGCAUGUAUGGAAAGCAGUGCACAGAAUUUUCCAUGGCCUGAAGCAAUGAUGUUAUACAAACAAUCCCCGAGGUGUCUCAGCAGCUCCAAACACAGUGGAAAGAAAUUAGAUAAUGCUCAAGACUUACCAGAUGGGUAUUCACUCAGUACUUUUGUGUAAAAUUCUCUCCCUAAAUUAAAUACUGAAGAAAUAGCUACACUGAACUUAUAAAAUUAACAUCUUUGUUUUCUAGUGCCCUUCUCUGACAUGAAAUGCCGGGAAUCUAAGGACAGAGUACAUUGUGUAUAAGUUAGCAGGACCCAUGAAAAUAAGCAGUAAGGAUAAACCUCCAAAUAAUUGGCCAAAAACAAGUAAAAAGUAGAUUAUAAGAAAAUGUAGAAAAGAAUAAUUUUCAAUGCCCCUGAUUCAAAAUUUGAGAUAACCAAAUGCAUUUUUAAUAAGAAAGACUUCUUGUUUAAAUCAUUGUCUCUCAUGGAGUGUUGCAACUUUCUAGGAUACUGUCAUGGUGUGGCUCUGAAACAUCUAAACUCUAUGUUCCUUGUUGCACUCAAUCCCAACCUUUCCAUUUCAUUGUCAGGUCCCUUUGUAAUUAAACUUCACCUUACCUGGAAAAACGCACGUCCCCCUACUAAUAUAGAACUUACUCCUGCCAUUCUACUCUACACUUACGCAAUGUGCACUGCUACUGGUACUCCUAGACGCCGUUUCCCCAGGAAUGUCCUCUUGUUUCCUGCAAUAGUUCAAAUUCUGCCCAGGUUUGAAGGCCAAGUCUAUGCCCAAUCUCUUUCAUGGCUUUUUCAAACCUCACUGUUUUCCUGUCUGAAGUCUUCCCCUGUUGGACGGAUACUGAGUUUCAUUAAGUAGUCGGUGACUAUUGGCAAGCAAGUCAGAAGGACUAUUGUUUAUGGACAUUCAUACUGGGAAAGAAAAUAGUUGUUAGAUAGAUUCAAACAAGCUGAAUCAGAAAUGCUCAGUCAUAAACACUACACUGAAGGACUUGAUUUCUUGGGGAAUUAUAGUAAAGGAAAAGGAGGGCCAUACAUCCCCACUUAGUAUGUGUGGUCCAGUUUAUAGCUGUGGUCCCUGUGUGUCAUGACUAGUACCCUUUUAAUCUCAAAGUUGUUUCUCUUUGAAUGAUAAGUAACAUGACUAUUAAUCCCUGUUGAACACUUAUGACAUAAUUGGUAAAUAUCCUGAAUUCUCUAUGAAUGAACUUUGAGCUACACAACAACCUUCUAAGAUAGCAAAAUUAUUGUUGGUUUCCAAAUGAAGAAACAGAAGCCAAAGGAUUAUCUUUCAAAUGACUGUACAGCUAUGGAGAUUAAGGCAGCUAUAUAGGGCACCAAUUGGAGAGUUAGGAUAGGUUUUGCUGAAUUCUAACAGAAUUUUUUGAGACUAGAAAUAAAAUUAAUGUUAAAUAUUUAUGAAGGGAGUUAGAGAGUGCCUAGAGAAUUUUCCCCAGAGUUAAGCAGCUCUAAAUAUUUAAAUAAAUGACACCCAAUAUUUUCUAAACAAAGACAUCUAUGAUACUCUCACAGGAGGACCACAGACACUUGGGAGGAGGGGGUUGAAAGCCGGAGCGAGAGAAGAUCCAGCUAUUCAUAAAAUGGCCUCUGGAGCCUGUCAACAUCAACUUGCUCUGCUCUUUAAUAUAUUAGAGACUGUCUUCCAGCUCCCCAGCAUCCUCCAGGUACUUGGAUUUAUGGAACUGUUCAGAAUAGGGUGGAAAUGGAAGGUUAAAAAUAGAAUUACUUUGGGAUAAUUUGUCUUAUGAAGAGAAAUGUUAAUGUCCCUACCCUUCUGGAUGUCUCUUAACCUAAAUGAAUCUAGUGGCUUUUUGCAAGGUGCUAGCAGUGGUGGUAUUCCUCUAUGAUGCAGUAACUGGCUCCCCUGCAUCUUCUUAUUAGAUAUGUGUUCAUAGGUGCUCAAUAAAUUCUUUAUGGGUGAUUUCUGCACCUGAGUAGAUUUACGUAUGCCCAUAUUUAUGAGUACUCUUGCCAUAUCAAAUGUACCUGAGAAAACUGUGCAAAUUAAGUUCAAUUUUAAUGAGUAGCACAUUGAGACUAAAAUCAUUUGUAUAAACAAAAACAGUUCUAAAAUAUUUGAUCCCUUGAGGUCCAGAAUCAUGACUAUUCUAUCCAAGUUUGUUCUUAUCCUUCAGGUCUGUAAUUUUCCAGGUCAUAAGCCUUCCUCUAUUUACAUAAAACUCUUAAUCUUUGAUAAUGAGUAGGUUCAAAGUUGACUUUAUGUAUCAUCAUUGCAUUUCUCAGGAAUUCAUGUUUUCUCUCUACAACAGUCUGUAAUUUGUUGGCUGUCUGCUUUGCUUAGUGCCUUAGGAAUAAUUUCCAUGUCUCUUUUCUUGAUGCUGCAAAUCUUAUCUGUCCUACCUCAAUGCUCUAUGUCUAGCUCUUGUCCUUUGACCUGAUAAAUUUGUUCUUCUAGAGUUAAAAUGGGAGUAGAUUUCACAAUUUGGGGCAGUAAUUUCUGGAAAAGGAAAAAAAAUUGAAAAUGGAUUCCCUAAUGACAUGAACAUAAAUGCCAUUACAUUGUCAAUGUAAUAGCAUAAACAUUAAACAUGUUUGCAAGAAUUCAGGAAUACCUAUAACAAUGUCAUCUUAAUUAACAAUUACUUUCUCUUCUGUGAUUCAGAGUAGUUGUAAAUGGCCAUUUAUAUAUGUCAGUUCAAGCACUGAAUUUAAUGGCACUUGACAUUUACUGUUAAGUACCAUUAUGCUUAUUUUUUAAUACCUAAAGUAACAAUGAUGUGCUUGCUCCUUCAUCUCUAAGAAGACACUUCCUACUUCCUCAGAUCUUCAGUGUGAAAAUAUGCAUGCUACUUUGUACUAAACACUAUUGCCAAGCCAAUGGCCAGGACUUUAACUCUCCUUUAGAUAUCAUUUCUCAUUUAGGAAGUAUAUAUAUUUCCAGGAAAUUGGGCACACUCUUAGCCACAGAAGUUUGUCCUGUUUGGUCCAAGUCAUUGCAGGUAAUCUGAUAUCCCUGGCCAACACAGCCCAGAUUGAUUAUAUCAAUAUAGCCAUUAGGGUUUUUGUUUUAUGCUGAGGAAGGAGAUACCUUUGAGAUAAUUCAAGAUAUCCUAAUGGAUAUAUUAUCAUUACUUUAGUAAUUACUUACAAAUAGAAUAUUACAAUUUAGAUAUCCAUAUGUAACAUGGAUAUAUGAUAUGUGUGUGUGUGUGUGUGUGUAAUAUGUUUAUAUAUAUCCCCUAAAUGGUACAAGACUUGUCCUUAAAACCUACUGCUGAAGAAAGUGAAGUCCAUUGCACUUUUUAAGACCUCAUGGUAGCUACUACUGCUAUGACAGCUUUGCAGUCUUCA
rnacentral:lncRNA from 1 species